GGGCCUAUAGUCUAGCUUGGAUAGGACGCGCGGCUUCGGACCGUGAAACGGGGGUUCAAAUCCCGCUAGGCCCG
rnacentral:tRNA from 1 species